CCAUGUUAAUCAGGGUAGGGGAAGUCGACCCCUAAGGCGAGGCUGAAGAGCGUAGUCGCUGGGAAACGGGUUAAUAUUCCCGUACUUGGAAUAAUUGAGAUGGGGGGACGGAGCAGGCUAAUCAAGCAUGGCGAUGGUUGUCCAUGUGAAAGGCUGUAGGCUGGUGACUUAGGAAAAUCCGGGUCGCUAAGGCUGAGAGUCGAGACGAGCUACUACGGUAGUGAAGUUGAUGAUGCCCUACUUCCAGGAAAAGCCUCUAAGCUUCAGAUUAUUUCGAAUCGUACCCCAAACCGACACAGGUGGUCAGGUAGAGAAUACUAAGGCGCUUGAGAGAACUCGGGUG
rnacentral:rRNA from 1 species